GACGAACGCUGGCGGCGUGCUUAACACAUGCAAGUCGAACGGAAAGGCCCUGCUUUUGUGGGGUGCUCGAGUGGCGAACGGGUGAGUAACACGUGAGUAACCUGUCCCUGACUUUGGGAUAACUUCAGGAAACUGGGGCUCAUACCGGAUAGGAGCUCCUGCUGCAUGGUGGGGGUUGGAAAGUUUCGGCGGUUGGGGAUGGACUCGCGGCUUAUCAGCUUGUUGGUGGGGUAGUGGCUUACCAAGGCUUUGACGGGUAGCCGGCCUGGGAGGGUGACCGGCCACAUUGGGACUGAGAUACGGCCCAGACUCCUACGGGAGGCAGAAGUGGGGAAUAUUGCACAAGGGGCGGAAGCCUGAUGCAGCAACGCCGCGUGCGGGAUGACGGCCUUCGGGUUGGAAACCGCUUUCGCCUGUGACGAAGCGUGAGUGACGGUAAUGGGUAAAGAAGCACCGGCUAACUACGUG
rnacentral:rRNA from 1 species